CCUACGGGGGGCAGCAGCAAGGAAUUUUCCGCAAUGGGCGAAAGCCUGACGGAGCAACGCCGCGUGUGGGAUGACGCUUUUCGGAGUGUAAACCACUGUUCAUGGGGACGAAGCACUGACGGUACCCAUGGAGGAAGGCCCGGCUAACUACGUGCCAGCAGCCGCGGUAAUACGUAGGGGUCGAGCGUUGUCCGGAGUUACUGGGCGUAAAGCGCAUGCAGGCGGCUCAUUACGCAUGGCGUGAAAGCCCCCGGCUUAACCGGGGAGGGUCGUCG
rnacentral:rRNA from 1 species